CCAUGUGAUCCUUAUAGAUUCAUCACAAAGAUUUCUAGCCCAAGGAAAUACUAGCGGAAUUGAACAUGUCCCCUUUUAUCAAUGUAAGAAUCAAGAAAUAAAAUAAAUAAAAUUGGGGUUGAGAAGAAAGGAAGGACUGAAAAAGAGAUCAUAGAAAAAAAAAAAAAAAAAAAAAACCCUGUAAAACUGCUCUUCAACCCGCCUUUCAACCGUUUCCUUUAACGAUAAAACAAAAAUCAAGACAUUGUGUGAAUGCGAUGUGACGAAACCUAGCUGGCAGUCUUCUCUUUCUGCACAGCCAAUAUCUCUCUCUCCUGGAUUUGUUGCUUGAAGAAGAUAGGGAGAGAAGGAGAAGAGGAUAGAUCAUCGAUCAUCAUUAUCUUAGCCGUUAAUUCUAAAAGGAGCUGUAUUGAUUGACAAUUGAUCCAAUGUACACUGCAGCGAGUCCAUCACCAUCGUCUCCAUCAAUUAUGUUUUAUGAUUUUCUUUAUAAAAUGCGAAACCCUGCUUCAUUCAAUCCUGUCAAGUCUAUUAAAAGCUUCAUUGUAUCAUUCCUAUUUUCAUCUGCCAGCCUUGAAAACAAUAGCAAAAAGUACAAGAGUUUCUCUGGACAAUGGAAGCAGCUAUCAUUGAACAUCCGUUAUGAGCAGGGAUUGGAGAAAUAUGUCAUGAAAAAAUUGUUCUCCUGAACAUUUGCUACUACUCCUGAGGAUUUGGAGAUUGACCAAGAGAUCUCAGAGAAGAUACACUUUUUGCAAUCCUUUUUGUGAUCUGAGCAUUUGGAUAUUCCUGCAUUUCUUCAGAAUGAAGCUUCAUGGCUGGAGCAAUGCCAAUUUGCUGUGUGGAAGUUAUCUCAUGAAUGUGAUGUUAAGAUAGAGCUAAGAUAUGCAACUUCUGUGACUAGUCAAGCAGUUUUUGUUAUUGCUGCUGUACUGCUUGCAGAAAAGGAAUUGCAGAAGAUCAACGCUUUCAAAGCUCCUCGGGAGAAGCUUCUCUGUAUUAUGAGUUGUUGCAUGAUCAUCAACAAUUUGCUGCUCAAUUCAUCAAUGUGAGAAAAUCAAGUAGUAGGAGGGCCUAAUGACUUUCUUCCUGUUCUUAUACAUGUUACAAUCAAGGCAAGAUCUCCUUGGUAAUAAGCAACUCUUUCUAUUGUUGUUUGCCUGUUUUGGACUAUCGUUUCUGUGUUUUGAUGUGUCAAUAGAAAUUUGGAUGACUAAAAAGCAUACUGCAAUCAUUGUUUGGCAUUCUAUUUUUUUCCACGUCUUUAUUGUCUUUUUUUUUGUGACAUUAGCCCAUGCCUCCAAACCAGAGAAUGUUUGGUAAUAAGUUAUUAUUUUACAUAAAGAUACAGGGUUGAAUAUCUUUUCUAGCCUACGCUGAUAUGCUAAUCUGAUCUAUUUACAUAGAAUUGGUUAAACAUUUUUUCCAGAAAUUAUAAAAGAUUUUCAAAUUACCCUUAUUGUUUUAAAAUUCAUAAAUAUUUUUUUAAUGACAAUAUGUAGGUCUGUUAUAGCAUCGUCAGAUCAUGAUUUGGUUAAAACUAACAAUAAUAAUAAGAUAGGCUCUGGUGUAUCCAUUUGCACACUGAAAUAGCAAUUACAUGCUGGAAAUAAAACAAAGAAAAAUGAAGUUAAAUAAAUUACAUGUUAAAUUUUAUUGGUGGAGCUGUAAACCUCUGAAUAAAAUCUGAAGAUAUGAGAUUCUGCUAUUCUUAAAAUUCAGAAUCUUUGUCUGCAUGUUGCUGUUUGUUAAAGAAUAAGUAAAAUUAACAAUUUUCAAUUGAACUUUUAAUUGGUUGCAAAUUUUUGAAAAGAAUGCAUGACCUCAAACUAUUGGCGAAUAUAUUAUGAAAUUGUGAUUUUUACAGAAUUGGUUAUAUUUUGUUUGUAUAUAUGUUUUUAAUUUAAAUACUUGUAGAAAAAUACUACUUUUUUUAUGGUGGCAUAUCUUAUAUUGAUGGAUGGACAGAAAUUACUAGCUUAUAUACUGACAUCCAUGAGUUUAAUGCAUAAAUCUGCAAUAAUUCUCUGAUUCAUAAUCAACAUUCAUAUUCUUGCAUUGUCAUGGGUUCAAUUUCUUCAACACUAGCGAUAAAACUAAUGUGGUGUUUGCUAGUUCCAAGAUUGUUUUGUAGUUACAAAACAGAACAGCGUAAAGGAAAUUAAAAGUAUCUUAAAAGUAUCAAGACUUUUAGGCAUAGUUUAAAGCAGCAUCCUGAUUUUUUUGUUAUGAAAUGUCCGCCACAGGCCCCGGCAUUUACAUAAGACGUCGAAGAGGCCAUUUUUCUAUAAGGAUAAACUAUUGUUGUAAAGUAAUAACGUGAAUUAUUCUCGUAGUUCCUGAAAUGCAAUGAAGCAUUUUGAAUACAUUAUUUCUCAAUUAGCCUCCUGUCUCAACAUGUGCACUUAAGAUUUCAGUUAAAUUAAUGCCCUUAGUUGACAUGGGGAGUUUAUUCAGAAAAAUCCUGGUGGAAAAAUGUGUCUAUGAUCAUAAUGAGGCUUAUUCAGUCAUCUAAGGAGGUAAUUUGCAAAAAUUAUCCAGUUAGCAUCUCACUAUUGUAGAGCCCAAGAUUCUGGAAUUAGCUAGCUUGGAUAGUUGUUAAAUAGUUUGUUUAUCAAAUUCCUGAAGCAUUCUGCGUCAUUGAGCAUGAAUGCACACUGUAUUAGUUCCUUUUGCUGGUUGAGUUUCAAAUAAAUAAUUGCUUUGCAACUGAUGCUCACUAACACUAGAUGAUGUCAUUUUGAUUUCUGUGAGGCCUUGAGGGACUGUGAGGUGAUUGUGCAGUUUUGAACCAAGUACCUGGUGAAUUUUAAUGUGCCCGUCUGAUCAAGUGGUGGACUUCUCUGCAUGCAAAUCUCUAUAUCUUCUCCUCUCUUUCUUUCCUCUCACUUUUCUUUUGUCAAAAUGUUGGCUUUGCUCGGUUGUCCAAUUCUGUGGUGAGGCUAAGUCAAUGCCAAAUCUCUUUCUUUGGAUGCAAUUGAAUUUGAAGAAAGGAUGCGGCAAGGUAUCACAAGUAGAAGCUUUACAAGCACAGACAGGUCAUGGUCCCCCAACAAGAAUGCGUUGCAUGGAGACUUUUUAGUCAGCAGAUCAAAUUAUCCAUACGUGGAAGCUGAACCUGGUGAAUUGACAGUUGAAGAUGUGGAAAGAUUUCUGAGUCUGUACAAAGAUGUAGUUACAAAGUACACUCACCUCUGCAGGGCCGUUUGGCAUCCCUCUGCAACGAGAACAGAACCAUCUCAUCAUGAUAUGAAAUUUUAUUGCAACGUGAGGUACACCUGCAAAUGAUCUAAGAGAAAGAGGCGCAUAAAUUUGAAUUUCAUCACAAUUGUCAAUCCCAGAGCACCUAGUAUGCUGCCAAACACCGCAGGUUAGUGGUGCACCAAAUGAAUCUGAGGCGUCAAGUGCCACGAAGGAUGGUGAUUUUCACUUCAAAACUUCUGGAAAGCACAAGCAUAAUCAACUUUGUAUGCUAUUGGUAAGGUUUUCAGAAAUGGACAAUUUACAAGCUACUUAAGACAAUACAACUUUCAGUUCUGAUUCAUUAAACCAAUGAAAGUUGAGAAAAAUACUUUAAAUAUCAAACGCAAUAGUUCAGUAUCAAAUUAUUCUGCCAUUUAGCUGUAAAGCAAGACUUGCAUGGAUGGCAGUGCAGUGUUUGCAAGUUCAAGGUGCGUACCCUUGGCUAUAUUCAUUGUUGGACUGGCUAUAUUCAUUGUUGGAUUCCUGAACCACCAUCUCUUUUCAAAAAUAAGCAUGGUAUAUGUUUUUUUUUUUUUCAGUUUUUUUUUCUUUUCCAGUUUGUAAAGCUAUAUACGGGCUCGCAUUAACUACUUAGCCACUCUUUUCUCCAACCAAUAUUAAGGUUCAAUAAAGUUCAUGAUUAAGUGGA